UAUCCGGAAUCAUUGGGCGUAAAGCGCCUGUAGGUUGUUUAAUAAGUCUGUUGUUGAAGACUAGGGCUUAACCCUAGAAGAGCAAUGGAAACUACUAGACUAGAGUAUGGCAGGGGUAGAGGGAAUUUCUAGUGUAGCGGUGAAAUGCGUAGAUAUUAGAAAGAACACCGGUGGCGAAGGCGCUCUACUGGACCAUUACUGACACUCAGAGGCGAAAGCUAGGGUAGCAAAAGGGAUUAGAUACCCCUGUAGUCCUAGCCGUAAACGAUGGAUACUACAUGUUGUGCAUUAUGUACAGUAUGGUAGCUAACGCGUUAAGUAUCCCGCCUGGGGAGUACGCUCGCAAGGGUGAAACUCAAAGGAAUUGACGGGGGCCCGCACAAGCGGUGGAGCAUGUGGUUUAAUUCGAUGCAACGCGAAGAACCUUACCAGGACUUGACAUACUACAAAUUCCUUUGAGAAAAGGAAGUGCCUUCGGGAAUGUAGAUACAGGUGGUGCAUGGCUGUCGUCAGCUCGUGUCGUGAGAUGUUGGGUUAAGUCCCGCGACGAGCGCAACCCUUAUUUUUAGUUACCAAUUCGUUGGGUUCUCUAGAAAGACUGCCGGUGACAAACCGGAGGAAGGUGAGGAUGACGUCAAGUCAGCAUGCCCCUUAUGUCCUGGGCUACACACGUGCUACAAUGGUUAAGACAAAGAGUCGCGAGCUCGUAAGGGUCAGCUAAUCUCAUAAACUUAGCCCAAGUUCAGAUUGUAGGCUGCAACUCGCUUA
rnacentral:rRNA from 1 species